rnacentral:rRNA from 1 species
GAACCGUGCGAACGGUUGUUCGGAUUCACUGGGCUUAAAGGGCGCGUAGGCGGCUUGCCAAGUCAGGGGUGAAAUCGUUCGGCUACAACCGGACGAAGUGCUUCUCGAUACUGGCGGGGCUGGAGGGAGGUAGGGGCAGACGGAACGUUCCGGUGGAGCGGUGAAAUGCGUAGAUAUCGGAAGGAACGCCGGUGGCGAAAGCGGUCUGCUGGACCUCUUCUGACGCUGAGGCGCGAAAGCCAGGGGAGACAAAGCGGGG